AGAAUAUUAAGAUAUAAAUUCUAUUAGCUUUCAAGGUUAAAAGUGUUAAAUCUUA
rnacentral:tRNA from 1 species